ACUCCUGGGGAGGCAGCAGUGGGGAAUUUGGACAAUGGGCGAAAGCCUGAUCCAGCAAUGCCGCGUGAGUGAAGAAGGCCUUCGGGUUGUAAAGCUCUUUUGUCAGGGAAGAAACGGUGAAAGCUAAUAUCUUUUGCUAAUGACGGUACCUGAAGAAUAAGCACCGGCUAACUACGUGCCAGCAGCCGCGGUAAUACGUAGGGUGCAAGCGUUAAUCGGAAUUACUGGGCGUAAAGCGUGCGCAGGCGGUUUUGUAAGUCUGAUGUGAAAUCCCCGGGCUCAACCUGGGAAUUGCAUUGGAGACUGCAAGGCUAGAAUCUGGCAGAGGGGGGUAGAAUUCCACGUGUAGCAGUGAAAUGCGUAGAUAUGUGGAGGAACACCGAUGGCGAAGGCAGCCCCCUGGGUCAAGAUUGACGCUCAUGCACGAAAGCGUGGGGAGCAAACAGGAUUAGAUACCCUGGUAGUCCC
rnacentral:rRNA from 1 species